AACGAACGCUGGCGGCAUGCCUAACACAUGCAAGUCGAACGAGACCUUCGGGUCUAGUGGCGCACGGGUGCGUAACGCGUGGGAACCUGCCCUUAGGUUCGGAAUAACUCCCCGAAAGGGGUGCUAAUACCGGAUAAUGUCUUCGGACCAAUGAUUUAUCGCCUUUGGAUGGGCCCGCGUUGGAUUAGCUAGUUGGUAGGGUAAAAGCCUACCAAGGCGACGAUCCAUAGCUGGUCUGAGAGGAUGAUCAGCCACACUGGGACUGAGACACGGCCCAGACUCCUACGGGAGGCAGCAGUGGGGGAUAGUGGACAAGGGGCGGAAGCCUGAUCCAGCAAUGCCGCGUGAGUGAUGAAGGCCUUAGGGUUGUAAAGCUCUUUUACCCGGGAUGAUAAUGACAGUACCGGGAGAAUAAGCUCCGGCUAACUCCGUG
rnacentral:rRNA from 1 species